rnacentral:rRNA from 1 species
GAUGAACGCUGGCGGCGUGCCUAAUACAUGCAAGUCGAGCGAACGGACGAGAAGCUUGCUUCUCUGAUGUUAGCGGCGGACGGGUGAGUAACACGUGGAUAACCUACCUAUAAGACUGGGAUAACUUCGGGAAACCGUAGCUAAUACCGGAUAAUAUUUUGAACCGCAUGGUUCAAAAGUGAAAGACGGUCUUGCUGUCACUUAUAGAUGGAUCCGCGCUGCAUUAGCUAGUUGGUAAGGUAACGGCUUACCAAGGCAACGAUGCAUAGCCGACCUGAGAGGGUGAUCGGCCACACUGGAACUGAGACACGGUCCAGACUCCUACGGGAGGCAGCAGUAGGGAAUCUUACGCAAUGGGCGAAAGCCUGACGGAGCAACACCGCGUGAGUGAUGAAGGUCUUCGGAUCGUAAAACUCUGUUAUUAGGGAAGAACAUAUGUGUAAGUAACUGUGCACAUCUUGACGGUACCUAAUCAGAAAGCCACGGCUAACUACGUG